GUCCCCAUCGUCCAGCGGUUAGGACAUCGCCCUUUCACGGCGGUAACAGGGGUUCGAAUCCCCUUGGGGACGCCA
rnacentral:tRNA from 1 species